rnacentral:rRNA from 1 species
CAGCCCUAAACCGAAUGCGUGUUAGGUGUAUCGGUGACCACGAGUCACCGAGGUGCCGAAGGGAAACCGUAGAAACGUGCCGCCUGGGAAGUACGGUCGCAAGGCUGAAACUUAAAGGAAUUGGCGGGGGAGCACCACAAGAGGUGGAGGCUGCGGUUCAAUUGGACUCAACGCCGGGAAGCUCACCGGAUAAGACAGCGGAAUGAUUGCCGGGCUGAAGACCCUGCAUGACCAGCUGAGAGGAGGUGCAUGGCGUAGUCGUGU